rnacentral:rRNA from 1 species
UACGUAGGGUGCAAGCGUUGUCCGGAAUUAUUGGGCGUAAAGAGCUCGGUAGGCGGUCUGUCGCGUCGGCUGUGAAAACUCGGGGCUCAACCCCGAGCCUGCAGUCGAUACGGGCAGACUAGAGUGCUGUAGGGGAGACUGGAAUUCCUGGUGUAGCGGUGAAAUGCGCAGAUAUCAGGAGGAACACCAGUGGCGAAGGCGGGCUCUGGUC